GAUUUUUCAGAUUAAUUACGAAAUUGCCACUGAAUUCGUAUUUAAAAAUCUGCAUUCUUCCAAAUAUUGAAACCAACAUAUCUCAUUCCUUAUAUGGUCAAAUGGAGUGAUUCAAAAGCCUAAUUUGAGUGAAAUUUCAUAAGAAAUCCAUUGGAGGCAUCAAAAGAGAGUUUUGGGAUCGUUUGGCACCAAAAACGAGGCGGAACAGCUGGGCGUUUUUGAUUUUUUGGGGUUUCUCUCAUCUUGAAAGCUUGGGUUUGGGAGAAUUCAAGGAUGUUCUUCAAGUUUCUUCCAUGGGACUUUCUUGAUCUCGAGGCUCAAAGGAAAGGAAAGGCUAAGGUGUGAUUGUUGGUGAUUUUGUUGUUCGGCCUUCCAGAGUUCCAGGUAAGGUCGAACUCUAAUUUUCGUGGCUGAUUGCGGUGCGAGAGUUGCUGCUGAGAGUCUACAUGGUGAGCACGAGGACAUCCGCUGCCUUGGAGAUUCUUUCCUUAUUUUAUGUCUUCUUUGAUAUUCCAAGACAUAUUCCGACUUUUGAUGUAUUAUUGAGAUUUUCAGACUCGUAGAUGUUAGCUAGUUGCUCUUGUACGAUUAGACAGAUUUUUGGGGUGGUUUGAUGUACUUCCGCAUCUUCUAUCUAUUAUUACGUCAGACUUA